AGACAAAAAGCCAAAUGAAAAAGAGGAAAAGGAGUGGAAGGUUCUUCAACUGCCGGCAAAAAGUCAAAGUUAACAUAAUCUCAUAUGAAAAAUGGCACGACACGUUAUGUCGUCCUUUUGUUUCAAACACCCAAUUGAAGCCUAUGCUGAAGGGCACCAGUUCUUGUCAAAAAGGCGAGAAGUUUGCUGAGGUUUAGAGACGAGAAAAGCUUUCUCAUUAAUUUUUU
ensembl:ncRNA F19D8.5 ncRNA